AUGGCUUUUAAAGAUCCCAGAAAAACACCCAUGGAGCUGGAGGUGGUGAUUUGCUGAAUUCGAAUCACGCUAAUGAGCUGCCACAUAAAAUCUCUGGAGAAAUGUGUGCUGACUUGAACAGAGGAGCAAAGGAAAAGAAUCUCGAAGUGAAAGGACCAGUUAGAAUGCCUACCAAGACUUUUGAGAAUUACUACAAGAAAAACUCCUUGAGGUGAAGGUUCUAAGACAUGGGAUCAUUUCCAGAUGAAAAUCCACAAGCCACUCAUUGACUCGCACAGCCCUUCUGAGAUUGUUGAGCGGAUGACUUCCAUCAGUAUUGAGCGAGGACUUGAGGUUGAAGCCACCAUUGCAGAU
rnacentral:lncRNA from 1 species